GGUCAGUGAUGUGAUGUAAAAGGUCUGAAUCUUAGCUCCUCCCCCUCAGCUGCCAUUUUGGCUCCCAGCAGUACCUGCUCUCUGCUACCAUCAUGCUCUAGUGGUGCAGUGGUGGUCUCAGGAGCUGCUGACAGACAGGAAGUGACAUCACAUUGAGUCUGUACAGAGAUCCUAUAGGCUCAGUGUGACGACAUCCAACAGAACUAAUCAGCACGGAGCGUCAGGCUGAGGGGGCGGGGUCUGAGAGAUGAUCUCACUCUGCUACUGAGACC